GGAUAUGAGGCCGAACUGGCUGUGACAUCUGUCACCCAUUGAUCGCCAGGGUUGAUUCGGCUGAUCUGGCUGGCUAGGCGGGUGUCCGCUUCCUCCCUCAACACUCCAUGCAUGUCCCUCCCUAAGCUGCAUGCUCAGUCCAAGAGGACGACCACCCCCGAUCAAGAAAGAUCAUUCCUCGGUCAAGGGUGUACAAGUAGUUGUGCUCCCCUGCUAGAGCCCCGAAAGAAGCUUUUAAAAAUGCUUUGACAUAUUCACUUGUGUUUUCCCAUUUUG
rnacentral:sRNA from 1 species